rnacentral:rRNA from 1 species
GUUGUUGGGUAGGGGAGCGUUCUGUAAGCCUGCGAAGGUGUGCUGUGAGGCAUGCUGGAGGUAUCAGAAGUGCGAAUGCUGACAUAAGUAACGAUAAAGCGGGUGAAAAGCCCGCUCGCCGGAAGACCAAGGGUUCCUGUCCAACGUUAAUCGGGGCAGGGUGAGUCGACCCCUAAGGCGAGGCCGAAAGGCGUAGUCGAUGGGAAACAGGUUAAUAUUCCUGUACUUGGUGUUACUGCGAAGGGGGGACGGAGAAGGCUAUGUUAGCCGGGCGACGGUUGUCCCGGUUUAAGCAUGUAGGCUGAUUGUCCAGGCAAAUCCGGAUAAUCAAGGCUGAGGUGUGAUGACGAGGCACUACGGUGCUGAAGUAACAAAUGCCUGCUUCCAGGAAAAGCCUCUAAGCAUCAGGUAACAUCAAAUCGUACCCCAAACCGACACAGGUGGUCAGGUAGAGAAUACCAAGGCGCUUGAGAGAA